rnacentral:rRNA from 1 species
UACGGGGGGGGCAAGCGUUGUUCGGAAUUACUGGGCGUAAAGGGCUCGUAGGCGGCCAACUAAGUCAGAUGUGAAAUCCCCAGGCUUAACCUGGGAACUGCAUCUGAUACUGGAUGGCUUGAAUCCGGGAGAGGGAUGCAGAAUUCCAGGUGUAGCGGUGAAAUGCGUAGAUAUCUGGAGGAAUACCGGUGGCGAAGGCGGCAGCCUGGACCGGCAUUGACGCUGAGGCGCGAAAGCCAGGGGAGCAAACGGG